CGAGACACCGGCGGAAGUGUACGUGUUGUGUGUGUGUGCAUGCCUGGUGAAAAGGACAGUUCGAAGGACACCCGCCGCGAGGAGAAUGGUGAUCAUGGUGACUAGAGGGACGGGUGAAACGCUGCAUUAGUGAUGGGCAGCCUGCCUGACGUGACGUGGUGUGGCUGUUAUCAAGAUCUGGCAAACAGUAUUUGGGCUUGGCUGUCACACCUGCCUCCCCAGCCCCUCCCAGUGACUCCCCUUCAGCCUCCGAGGUCACAGACCAUCCAAAGGGCAAGACAGCGAGCAUGAGACAGAGAAACAAAAGGUCAUGGGGGAGCGAGGAAAAGAAAGAGUCCAAGAGCAAGGAUGAGUUUGCAUGGGCCCUCCCUACCACCACUUUCCCCUCAAGGACACCGGCAACACACACUUCCCGUAAUCGGAAGCUCCAAGAAGCCUUUCAUUAAGAACCAUUGUUGUGUGGGGCGACGUAGGUGACGGUAUACAGACGUCUUGAGGCCAGAGCGGGUGGGCACCGAUCUCUGUGCAACCAAGGCAGCACAUAAGUGGAAACAUUGAGAUUGUGUGCCUGAAACACCGCUUCCCCCCAAUUGAUGAUGAAGCUCGAGUGGAUAACACACAGACGAGCGGUGAACACAAAGGACGGAAUCCAGACGCUGUAGAUGACGUUAAGUCUCAACAAAAAACCCUGAAGCAGAGAUGAUAGGCGAUGAAUCCUCCCCAGAUAAGGCAGGCUUUCCGCCGCGACGUGAUUGUGAUGAUUGUACGUUGUUGUGUUGGGUGCUGCCACUACUGAAGGGCGAAUCAAAGUGUCCAGUCGACAAUCCGCAUCCUGCCACAGGGAACUGGCUUAAUGUUGCAUUGGGACAUCAGAUGUUAAUUAUGCCUAGCUUCACCUUCCGAGGAGGGAGGAGAGACUUCUUCAUUCCUCCAUACUGUUGUCACGUUAUCCCUUCAUCCUAUGGAUGUACCUACUUGUGGUACCAGUAUUGUAUAAUAAAAAAUAAUUUAUAAAA